rnacentral:lncRNA from 1 species
AAUACAAGAUUGCUCAACCGUCAACAGAUUGAUGAUUGGCUUUUGGGACAUAUUUUUCAAUAACUCCCACUUGUCCUAAAGCCACUCGGCACAGUAUCUAAUACUCAUCUUUGACUUUUGGUUAUCGAACUCCUUUAUCGCCAGGGCUAUAGUGAAGGGGUCGGUCAAGUUCUCCUUUCCAUCGAUCUUCUGAAGGUCGAUGUCACCUCGAUCCACGAUCUCCGGGACA